rnacentral:rRNA from 1 species
UAUGGGGGGACCAUCCUCCAAGGCUAAAUACUCCUGACUGACCGAUAGUGAACCAGUACCGUGAGGGAAAGGCGAAAAGAACCCCGGCGAGGGGAGUGAAAAAGAACCUGAAACCGUGUACGUACAAGCAGUAGGAGCCCACUAGUUGGGUGACUGCGUACCUUUUGUAUAAUGGGUCAGCGACUUAUAUUCUGUAGCAAGGUUAACCGUAUAGGGGAGCCGCAGGGAAACCGAGUCUUAACUGGGCGUUAAGUUGCAGGGUAUAGACCCGAAACCCGGUGAUCUAGCCAUGGGCAGGUUGAAGGUUGGGUAACACUAACUGGAGGACCGAACCGACUAAUGUUGAAAAAUUAGCGGAUGACUUGUGGCUGGGGGUGAAAGGCCAAUCAAACCGGGAGAUAGCUGGUUCUCCCCGAAAGCUAUUUAGGUAGCGCCUCGUGAACUCAUCUUCGGGGGUAGAGCACUGUUUCGGCUAGGGGGUCAUCCCGACUUACCAACCCGAUGCAAACUACGAAUACCGAAGAAUGUUAUCACGGGAGACACACGGCGGGUGCUAACGUCCGUCGUGAAGAGGGAAACAACCCAGACCGCCAGCUAAGGUCCCAAAGUCAUGGUUAAGUGGGAAACGAUGUGGGAAGGCCCAGACAGCCAGGAUGUUGGCUUAGAAGCAGCCAUCAUUUAAAGAAAGCGUAAUAGCUCACUGGUCGAGUCGGCCUGCGCGGAAGAUGUAACGGGGCUAAACCAUGCACCGAAGCUGCGGCAGCGACACUAUGUGUUGUUGGGUAGGGGAGCGUUCUGUAAGCCGUUGAAGGUGGCCUGUGAGGGUUGCUGGAGGUAUCAGAAGUGCGAAUGCUGACAUAAGUAACGAUAAUGCGGGUGAAAAACCCGCACGCCGGAAGACCAAGGGUUCCUGUCCAACGUUAAUCGGGGCAGGGUGAGUCGACCCCUAAGGCGAGGCCGAAAGGCGUAGUCGAUGGGAAACAGGUUAAUAUUCCUGUACUCGGUGUUACUGCGAAGGGGGGACGGAGAAGGCUAUGUUGGCCGGGCGACGGUUGUCCCGGUUUAAGCAUGUAGGCGGAUGUUCCAGGUAAAUCCGGAACGUUAUUAACGCUGAGGUGUGAUGACGAGGCACUACGGUGCUGAAGUGACAAAUGCCCUGCUUCCAGGAAAAGCCUCUAAGCAUCAGGUAACAUCAAAUCGUACCCCAAACCGACACAGGUGGUCAGGUAGAGAAUACCAAGGCGCUUGAGAGAACUCGGGUGAAGGAACUAGGCAAAAUGGUGCCGUAACUUCGGGAGAAGGCACGCUGAUGGUAGGUGAAGUGACUUGCUCAUGGAGCUGAAAUCAGUCGAAGAUACCAGCUGGCUGCAACUGUUUAUUAAAAACACAGCACUGUGCAAACACGAAAGUGGACGUAUACGGUGUGACGCCUGCCCGGUGCCGGAAGGUUAAUUGAUGGGGUUAUCCGUAAGGAGAAGCUCUUGAUCGAAGCCCCGGUAAACGGCGGCCGUAACUAUAACGGUCCUAAGGUAGCGAAAUUCCUUGUCGGGUAAGUUCCGACCUGCACGAAUGGCGUAAUGAUGGCCAGGCUGUCUCCACCCGAGACUCAGUGAAAUUGAACUCGCUGUGAAGAUGCAGUGUACCCGCGGCAAGACGGAAAGACCCCGUGAACCUUUACUAUAGCUUGACACUGAACACUGGUCCUUGAUGUGUAGGAUAGGUGGGAGGCUUUGAAGUGUUGACGCCAGUCUGCAUGGAGCCAUCCUUGAAAUACCACCCUUUAAUGGCUGGUGUUCUAACGUGGGCCCGUAAUCGGGGUUGCGGACAGUGUCUGGUGGGUAGUUUGACUGGGGCGGUCUCCUCCUAAAGAGUAACGGAGGAGCACGAAGGUCAGCUAAUCCUGGUCGGACAUCAGGAGGUUAGUGCAAUGGCAUAAGCUGGCUUGACUGCGAGCGUGACGGCGCGAGCAGGUGCGAAAGCAGGUCAUAGUGAUCCGGUGGUUCUGAAUGGAAGGGCCAUCGCUCAACGGAUAAAAGGUACUCCGGGGAUAACAGGCUGAUACCGCCCAAGAGUUCAUAUCGACGGCGGUGUUUGGCACCUCGAUGUCGGCUCAUCACAUCCUGGGGCUGAAGUAGGUCCCAAGGGUAUGGCUGUUCGCCAUUUAAAGUGGUACGCGAGCUGGGUUUAGAACGUCGUGAGACAGUUCGGUCCCUAUCUGCCGUGGGCGCUGGAGAAUUGAGGGGGGCUGCUCCUAGUACGAGAGGACCGGAGUGGACGCAUCACUGGUGUUCGGGUUGUCAUGCCAAUGGCAUUGCCCGGUAGCUAAAUGCGGAAGAGAUAAGUGCUGAAAGCAUCUAAGCACGAAACUUGCCCCGAGAUGAGUUCUCCCUGACUCCUUGA